rnacentral:lncRNA from 1 species
UGCCCACACAGUCUUCCCCUCGACAGCCACAGGGCUUCUCCUCCAGUUCCUCCAGCUCUUUUUCUGUAGGUCCUUUUCUCAGUGAGACCCCCUAACUAUCAAUUAGAAUGGCUACCUCCCUCCCCACCCCGGCUCUCCUCUUCUCUGCUUUGUUGUUUCCAUAGCACCCAACACCGUCUACACGUCAUGUGUUCAUUGCCUGGUUUCCUGUUGGAACAGGAAGCUCCAGGAGGGCAGGGAUUUUGUCUGUUUUGUUUUCUGUGUGCCUUGGCUUCUGGAACUGUGUUGACAAUUACUCACUGCUCAAUAACUAUUCGUGGGAUGAGCGAAGGGAUACUUGGGGAACGGAGGAAGGAGCACUGUUCUAGAAGCAGAACUUGCAGGGAGUGGCGCAAUGUGGCCACAGCCAGAUCCCUGAGGUGGGACUUUGAACUGAGUCCUCCCCAAGGUCAUUAAAAGUUGCUUCCUGUUUUCCAGCUAAGGAAGCCCCGUGGAGUGGGAGCCAAAAGCUUGAGUUCCUGUUCCAUCUCGGCCUCUUAUUGGCUGUGUGCCCUGGGUGCAAAUCACUCCUCUUCGCGAGCCUUGGUUCCUCAUCUGUUCAUUGGGGUGUCAUCAUCUUCUUGCAGGGCUGGCAUAAAAGAGCCAGUGUGUGAGCGGCGCCCCCCCAUGUAAUCAGCACCCAGUGCACACUUGCUCCCCCCAGAAACAGUGCUAAUUCAGAGCAAGUUUCAGACAGAUGUGUUUUGGGGGGGAGGUGGGGAGGAAGGAGGAAGAGAGAGUGAGACCAUAGAGGAAGACGAGGCCCUGGGAGAGAAGCAGGAGGGCUGAGGGCUGGACCCUGAAGGACCAGGAGAAGCGCCAGAGGCAGAGGGGUGAGCAGGAGACCCUCCGACCUCACUUGUCCCAUCCCUGUCCCUGAGCUCUUUGGAGCCUGGCCAACCCCAUGUGGAGGCAGGUGGAGAUUGAUGAUUAAGCUCAUUUCAUGGGUGAGGAAACUGAGGUGAAGAAGGCGGCGAUAGGUGUCUGUCUCUUCUUCCCCUGCCAGACUGGAAGCUCCUAGGGUUUAAAGUCUGCUCAUUCAGACCCACCAUUUCUGUCUCCUCAGGGCCAAUGUCGCUGACUGAAAACAGGAGUGGGUGCUCAUCGGUGGGCUCCCAGCCUCAGCACGCCCCACCCCCGCUUUUAUAACAAAUGUCUUGCAAUACCGUCUUCCCUGUAAUGGAAUGCAAGUCGUAGAUUCUGAAUCGGCGGGUCUGGGGAAGGACCGAGGGGCUGCAUCUCUAACCGGCCCAGGUGUUGCCUAGCUGCUGCUCCGCAGGCGGAGGAGGGACGCAUUCCGUUCCCUCGGCCCACGCACCGGCCCGCCCUGCAGGACUCUCCACCCAGAGCCGCCCCCUCCCCAGGUCCGAGCAAGGGGAAGCCC